CCUACGGGCGGCAGCAGUGGGGAAUUUUGCGCAAUGCUCGUAAGAGUGACGCAGCGACGCCGCGUGAAUUACGAAGGCCUUCGGGUCGUAAAGUUCUUUCGACAGGGCAGAAAAUGCAUAUAAGUAACUGUGUAUGUAUUGACGGUACCUGUAUAAACAGCACCGGCUAACUCCGUGCCAGCAGCCGCGGUAAUACGGAGGGGGCGAGCGUUGUUCGGAGGGACUGGGCGUAAAGAGAACGUAGGCGGUGUUGUAAGUAAUUAGUCAAAGACUCGAGCUCAACAUUAGUAAGGCUAGUGAUACGAUAAUACUAGAGUAUCAGAGAGGAUUGCAGAAUUCCUGGUGUAGCGGUGAAAUGCGGAG
rnacentral:rRNA from 1 species